AGAAUCAACGCUGGCGGCGUGCCUCAGACAUGCAAGUCGAAUGCGAAAGUCCCCUUCGGGGGACAAGUAGAGUGGCGCACGGGUGAGUAACACGUAGGUAAUCUGCCUUUGGAUGGGGAAUAACAACCGGAAACGGUUGCUGAUACCGCAUGAUGCAGCGGCACCUAAUGGUGACAGUUGUUAAAGCGGGGGAUCGAAAGACCUCGCGUCUGAAGAGGAGCCUGCGGCGGAUUAGCUAGUUGGUAAGGUAAUGGCUUACCAAGGCUACGAUCC
rnacentral:rRNA from 1 species